rnacentral:rRNA from 1 species
ACGAACGCUGGCGGCGUGCCUAAUACAUGCAAGUAGAACGCUGAAGAGAGGAGCUUGCUCUUCUUGGAUGAGUUGCGAACGGGUGAGUAACGCGUAGGUAACCUGCCUUGUAGCGGGGGAUAACUAUUGGAAACGAUAGCUAAUACCGCAUAACAAUGGAUGACACAUGUCAUUUAUUUGAAAGGGGCAAUUGCUCCACUACAAGAUGGACCUGCGUUGUAUUAGCUAGUAGGUGAGGUAAUGGCUCACCUAGGCGACGAUACAUAGCCGACCUGAGAGGGUGAUCGGCCACACUGGGACUGAGACACGGCCCAGACUCCUACGGGAGGCAGCAGUAGGGAAUCUUCGGCAAUGGGGGCAACCCUGACCGAGCAACGCCGCGUGAGUGAAGAAGGUUUUCGGAUCGUAAAGCUCUGUUGUAAGUCAAGAACGGGUGUGAGAGUGGAAAGUUCACACUGUGACGGUAGCUUACCAGAAAGGGACGGCUAACUACGUGCCAGCAGCCGCGGUAAUACGUAGGUCCCGAGCGUUGUCCGGAUUUAUUGGGCGUAAAGCGAGCGCAGGCGGUUUGAUAAGUCUGAAGUUAAAGGCUGUGGCUCAACCAUAGUUCGCUUUGGAAACUGUCAAACUUGAGUGCAGAAGGGGAGAGUGGAAUUCCAUGUGUAGCGGUGAAAUGCGUAGAUAUAUGGAGGAACACCGGUGGCGAAAGCGGCUCUCUGGUCUGUAACUGACGCUGAGGCUCGAAAGCGUGGGGAGCGAACAGGAUUAGAUACCCUGGUAGUCCACGCCGUAAACGAUGAGUGCUAGGUGUUGGAUCCUUUCCGGGAUUCAGUGCCGCAGCUAACGCAUUAAGCACUCCGCCUGGGGAGUACGACCGCGAGGUUGAAACUCAAAGGAAUUGACGGGGGCCCGCACAAGCGGUGGAGCAUGUGGUUUAAUUCGAAGCAACGCGAAGAACCUUACCAGGUCUUGACAUCCCGAUGCUAUUUCUAGAGAUAGAAAGUUACUUCGGUACAUCGGUGACAGGUGGUGCAUGGUUGUCGUCAGCUCGUGUCGUGAGAUGUUGGGUUAAGUCCCGCAACGAGCGCAACCCCUAUUGUUAGUUGCCAUCAUUCAGUUGGGCACUCUAGCGAGACUGCCGGUAAUAAACCGGAGGAAGGUGGGGAUGACGUCAAAUCAUCAUGCCCCUUAUGACCUGGGCUACACACGUGCUACAAUGGUUGGUACAACGAGUUGCGAGUCGGUGACGGCGAGCUAAUCUCUUAAAGCCAAUCUCAGUUCGGAUUGUAGGCUGCAACUCGCCUACAUGAAGUCGGAAUCGCUAGUAAUCGCGGAUCAGCACGCCGCGGUGAAUACGUUCCCGGGCCUUGUACACACCGCCCGUCACACCACGAGAGUUUGUAACACCCGAAGUCGGUGAGGUAACCUUUUGGAGCCAGCCGCCUAAGGUGGGACAGAUGAUUGGGGUG